GAUGAAGAACGCAGCAAAAUGCGAUAAGUAAUGUGAAUUGCAGAAUUCAGUGAAUCAUCGAAUCUUUGAACGCACAUUGCGCCUGCCAGCACUCUGGCAGGCAUGCCUGUUCGAGCGUCAUUUCAACCAUCAAGCCCUAGGCUUGCGUUGGAGCCCUGCGGCUGCCGCAGGCCCCUAAAAGCAGUGGCGGGCUCGCUAUCACACCGAGUGCAGUAGAUUACUCUUCGCUCAGGGCGUGUGGCGGGUUCCAGCCGUGAAACCCCCUACUUCUCAAGGUUGACCUCGGAUCAGGUAGGAAUACCCGCUGAACUUAAGCAUAUCAAUAAGCGGAGGA
rnacentral:misc_RNA from 1 species